AUGUUUUCCACUUCAGUACUCCGCAAAAUGUAUUUCCAGGAGCCUGGUCAGUUCAUGCUGACUCCUUCAGCAAGCAAUCAGACCCGUCCUGCUCCGCUCGUACACACUGCAGCGGGGCGAGGAGCACGGAAGGGCAGGAAGAGGAGAGCAGCGCCGUGUGGGGCAGAGAUGAGGCAGGAAAAGGGACAGCUGGAAGGAGUAGGAUUGUUUGUGAUCUUUAAAAACACCAGGAGGUCUUCAUACCUAGCAAGGUCUAAUGACACUCUCGGUCCUUCCUGCUGUUUUGCUGAAGCACACGGCUGUAGCUCAGAAAUAGAAACAAGCAAUUUUGCCUUGGGCGAUGACCUGUGGUUGUUUCCUCUGCCAUGCAUAGCAGCUCAGCCUUGUGGUUCCACUGGGACUGUGUUUUUUGUACAGCUUCUGACUUUGGGCAACGAAAUAUGAGGUGCCGUGGCAGUGGCAGGGAUAUAGUUACAUCAAAACUUCCCUUCACACUUCACUACUGGCCUGGAUUUUGAUUUUAGAUUUUUUAAUUCCCCUAUCCUACAAGGUUCAUCCAAUUUUGAAUUGGCCUCAUUUGGGUCAAUUUCUAUAAUAAUGAGCCCCUCUGCUGUCUGCUGGGCUGUCUGAUGAGUGCUGUGGGCUAAGUUUGUUACGCUCUGCUCUCUGCAAGGAUGCUUUUUUCUCCCUGCCCAGACUAUGCCUUAUCAUUUCUUGCAUCUGACUGAAUUUCUAAGGCGCAUCCUGGUGGCCGUGUGAUCACAGAGGUGCUCCAGUGUGGGAACCUGGCUCAUGGGAGCACUCUGCUUGGUGCAGCUCAUGGUGAACUCCAACUGGAUGAGAAAGCAAAGGCAGCACUCACCAGCAGGGCAAAAGGUUUGCAAGAGCUAUCUGGUGUGCUGCCGUCACCUUGCCCUGAUAGGCACAGCCUGUCUCCAUCAGAGAGGCAUGAAGGCUGUGUCUUGAGUCACCAGUUAGCAUCUGUCUUCCAAAUACCCUCCUGCUUCUAGUCCAAACCUAGUCAGUGCGCCAAGUGUAUUCAAUACCCAGUAAGUAGCACCAGAGUUUGGCUGUCAGAGAUGCUGAUUGCAAAAGGCUUCACCUGGUAAAGAAUUGCUCACUUAGUUCACUAGCUGUUUUGAAGUAACAGAGAAUGGUGAAAGAUCAAAUGUGGGGCAUAGGCUGCCUCCUCUGGAGUGACAAAUUAGAGUCCAAAAGGCAGCACACAGUGUGUUACGUGAUGUUUCCAGCCAGAGUCCUGGGUCUCUCAGCUAACAAGUGGAAGCGUCAUGGGCUUUACCGCAGCAGAAGAGAAGGGGUGGAAACUCCAGGAGCUCCCUCAGGACAGCGUUUCUGUUGCCUGUUGAACUUGGGAGACUCAGCUUCCACGUGGAGGGACAGCUCCUAAUGCCUCGCUAGGUAGCAAUGAUGUCUCCUCUUCAUCCGUGUCAUCCGCUGUAUUACAGAGAUUGGCUACCCAGAUGCUCAUACAGAUGCUGUAGCUCCAGAGCAUUUACAAGAGGCAAAGAGUGACUUAACAGCUUCAAUUAGCUUCUAGAAAAGAUUGCACAGUGCUUAAGGUAUGCCAAAAAGGCAGUGUGUGACUCCUCUGACAAAGCAAUGCUGCUGCUCCUUGUGAUGCUUUAGCCUCCUGCAGUGCCAGAUGUAGCUAGUGUUUUACUAUUUCUUUCUUCAAAUAGCAGUGCUCAGGGGGGAUAAACUUUACUUAACCUAAUUAAUUUUAAUCACAGCUUUCAAAUCUCAUACUGUGCAAAGAAUUACAAAUUGGAAUACAUUAAUAGAACCCAUGGUUUAUGCUGCAAGCUAAUCGGAAAGUGUGCAUUUACAUUUUCUGCAUGAGUUUGCAAUUACCAUUAAAAUAAAAUUCAGUUAUGUCCUUUUAAAUUACUAAAA
ensembl:lncRNA